rnacentral:lncRNA from 1 species
CGGCACCGGAAGACAAUCACCCGUAGAAGGAGAGAUCAACGGAGAGGGUGUAUCUUCAAGCCUUGCCUAGUUUUCGGGCCUUUCAUCAGUGCCAAUUUAAAUUUCCCAGCUUUCCAGUGGCCAGGUUAUCGGAAAAAAACUUGAGACCGGAAUUGCCCGUCUGCUCAGCCAAACAGGGUGAGAGGAUUCUAUGACAACUGGUACAGUAUUUCUUAAUACUUGCUGGGCAUGGUGGCGCACGCCUGUAAUCCCAGCACUAGGGAGGCGGAGGCAGGAGGACUGCCGCGAGUUGGAGGCUAGCCUGGGCUACAUAGUGAAUUCAGAGCCAGACUGAACUACAAAGCGAGACCCUGCCUCAAAAAAAAAAAAAAAAAAAAAUCUCAAGGCUUUUCCAGAUAACAGAACCAGCCAGAGAUACACUAUUGAUCACUGUUGAGGUCUUCACCAACAGAACACUUCUAAGGUUUAUCUGCCUUCCAUCGCUCCUACGACCAGUUUAUUCUUUAUCAAGAAGACAAUCCUGGGCCGGGGAUUUAGCUCCGUGGUUUCGCUGCCUGCUGCGCAAGCUCAAGGACCAGAGUUCGAUCCCCGGUACCAAAAAAAGGAAGACGACAAUCCAGUGUCCUCGGAGACAAGGAGUUAAUCAUGACCUCGCAAAAUUAUGUAAUUUUGGUUUUCGUUCUUAAAACUCUGUAUACCCUAACCAUGGCUCAGAUACUAUUGUCCCAAAAGGGCAAAACCUGGGACAGUUUCUUAAAUUCAAGUAGCUAGUUUGGAGAGAAGAGGUUUAUUGGGAAGAGGGAGCAUAAGACUUGUUGAAUUAUUUGCCUCACUUUCAGUUGUUUUAUUACAUCUUCCCAAAAUGACAAAAUUUGUCAUAAAAAUAAAUUCUACCCUUUGAUUUAGUAAUCUCAGUCCCAGAAAUUUAUCCUAAAGACAUAAUCUAAAAGAAAAAGUGCUAACACCUCAACUGACAACAGUGCCUAUUUGGAAUAUUGGAAAAACGUAGAAACUCCCCAGUCUGAUCUAUCAAAAUUCAACAGAUUAUGAACCGAACAGGAUUAUUACUUUAAAAACUUACUUGCAAGAAAAAAAUGUCACAUAAAGUUAAAUGAAAAAAAAGCAGACUCCAAAUUGGAUGUUAGAAAUUCAGUAAUGUGAAAAUAUAUGACUAAGCAAAGAUGAAGAAGUAAUUUACUGUUACAAUGAGAU